rnacentral:rRNA from 1 species
CCUACGGGAGGCAGCAGUGGGGAAUAUUGGACAAUGGGGGCAACCCUGAUCCAGCCAUGCCGCGUGUGUGAAGAAGGCCUUCGGGUUGUAAAGCACUUUAAGCGGGGAGGAAGGGCUUUGGGUUAAUAACCUGGAGCAUUGACGUUACCCGCAGAAUAAGCACCGGCUAACUCUGUGCCAGCAGCCGCGGUAAUACAGAGGGUGCAAGCGUUAAUCGGAAUUACUGGGCGUAAAGCGCGCGUAGGCGGUUGUGCAAGUUGGAGGUGAAAUCCCCGGGCUUAACCUGGGCACUGCCUUCAAAACUGCACGGCUAGAGUAUGGGAGAGGAAGGUAGAAUUCCAGGUGUAGCGGUGAAAUGCGUAGAGAUCUGGAGGAAUACCGAUGGCGAAGGCAGCCUUCUGGCCUAAUACUGACGCUGAGGUGCGAAAGCACGGGGAGCAAACAGGAUUAGAUACCCUGGUAGUCCAUGCCGUAAACGAUGUCAACUAGUUGUUGGGAGACUUGAUCUCUUAGUGACGCAGCUAACGCAUUAAGUUGACCGCCUGGGGAAUCGGUCGCAAGACUAAAACUCAAAGGAAUUAACGG